rnacentral:rRNA from 1 species
CCUACGGGGUGCUGCAGUGGGGAAUAUUGGACAAUGGGCGAAAGCCUGAUCCAGCCAUGCCGCGUGUGUGAAGAAGGCCUUCGGGUUGUAAAGCACUUUCAGUGGGGAAGAAAGCCUUGGGGCUAAUACCCUCGAGGAAGGACAUCACCCACAGAAGAAGCACCGGCUAACUCCGGCCAGCAGCCGCGGUAAUACGGAGGGUGCGAGCGUUAAUCGGAAUUACUGGGCGUAAAGCGCGCGUAGGCGGUCUGAUAAGCCGGUUGUGAAAGCCCCGGGCUCAACCUGGGAACGGCAUCCGGAACUGUUAGGCUAGAGUGCAGGAGAGGAAGGUAGAAUUCCCGGUGUAGCGGUGAAAUGCGUAGAGAUCGGGAGGAAUACCAGUGGCGAAGGCGGUCUUCUGGACUGACACUGACGCUGAGGUGCGAAAGCGUGGGUAGCAAACAGGAUUAGAUACCCCAGUAGUC